GUGAGGAAUUUUCCGCAAUGGGCGAAAGCCUGACGGAGCAAUGCCGCGUGAAGGAUGAAGGCCUAUGGGUUGUAAACUUCUUUUCUCAGAAAAGAAUUAUGACGGUAUCUGAGGAAUAAGCAUCGGCUAACUCUGUGCCAGCAGCCGCGGUAAGACAGAGGAUGCAAGCGUUAUCCGGAAUGAUUGGGCGUAAAGCGUCUGUAGGUUGUUUAAAAAGUAUUCUGUCAAAGAUUAGGGCUUAACCCUAGAUAGGCAGAAUAAACUUUUAAGCUAGAGGUUGGUAGAGGCAGAGGGAAUUCCCGGUGGAGCGGUGAAAUGCGUAGAUAUCGGGAGGAACACCAAAGGCGAAGGCACUCUGCUGGGCCAAUACUAACACUGAGAGACGAAAGCGAGGGGAGCAAAUGGGAUUAGAUACCCGAGUAGUCC
rnacentral:rRNA from 1 species